rnacentral:tRNA from 2 species
GGAAGGACACAACUAAGGAGAGGUGGAUUCGGUUGCUAACUGAACGGAGUAAUACUCCUUAUGGGUUCGAAUCCCAUUCCUUCCG